GACGUAGGGCGCGAGCGUUGUCCGGAUUUAUUGGGCGUAAAGAGCUCGUAGGCGGCUUGUCGCGUCGACUGUGAAAUCCCGCGGCUCAACUGCGGGUCUGCAGUCGAUACGGGCAGGCUAGAGUUCGGUAGGGGAGACUGGAAUUCCUGGUGUAGCGGUGAAAUGCGCGGAUAUCAGGAGGAACACCGAUGGCGAAGGCAGUUCUCUGGGCCGUAACUGACGCUGAGGAGCGAAAGCGUGGGGAGCGAACAGG
rnacentral:rRNA from 1 species